rnacentral:misc_RNA from 1 species
AAGUCGUAACAAGGUUUCCGUAGGUGAACCUGCGGAAGGAUCAUUGACAAAUAAAGCUGGUAGGAAGUGGGGGUCUUGAUCUGUAAGUGGUAGAGCGAAACAGUCCCGGGCUGCCUCCCCGAAAAUGUCAUUACAUGUCCCCCCCACAGCCUGAAGGCCCGAAUUCAACCCUUGUUAUCUACACUUGUUGCUUUGGGGUGCUCAAGUGCCCCCAGAGGGCCCCAACCUCUCUUGCACUUUAGCUGACCGUCCUGAGUACUAUAUAAUAUUUUAAAAAC